rnacentral:rRNA from 1 species
UAAGGAAUAUUGGGCAAUGGAGGGAACUCUGACCCAGCCAUGCCGCGUGCAGGAUGAAGGCGUUAUGCGUUGUAAACUGCUUUUUAUAUAGGAAGAAAUAGUCCUUGCGAGGAAAGUUGACGGUACUAUAUGAAUAAGCACCGGCUAACUCCGUGCCAGCAGCCGCGGUAAUACGGAGGGUGCAAGCGUUGUCCGGAUUUAUUGGGUUUAAAGGGUGCGUAGGCGGUUUAUUAAGUCAGUGGUGAAAGACGGUCGCUCAACGAUUGCAGUGCCAUUGAUACUGGUAGACUUGAGUAUGAUUGAGGUAGCUGGAAUGGAUAGUGUAGCGGUGAAAUGCAUAGAUAUUAUCCAGAACACCAAUUGCGUAGGCAAGUUACUAAGUCAUAACUGACGCUGAGGCACGAAAGUGUGGGUAUCAAACAGGAUUAGAUACCCCAGUAGUCCCUGAGCGGGCUGGCAAGGCGCAU